rnacentral:rRNA from 1 species
UACAGAGGUCCCGAGCGUUGUUCGGAUUCAUUGGGCGUAAGGUGGCGUAGCGGUCUGCUAAGUUUGAUGUGAAAUCCCGGGGCUCAACCCUGGAAUGGCAUUGAAUACUGGCGGACUAGAGUACCGGAGAGGAAACUGGAAUUUACGGUGUAGCAGUGAAAUGCGUAGAGAUCGUAAGGAAGACCAGUGGCGAAGGCGAGUUUCUGGACGGUAACUGACGCUGAGGCACGAAGGCCAGGGGAGCAAACGGG